rnacentral:lncRNA from 1 species
AUCAAAAGCUAAUUGUGGUUUUUACCUCUGGGUAAUGGGAUUGAAGAUAAUUCAACAAAUAUCUAUUAAGUACCUAAUCUGUGCCAGGCACUGGAUCACUGAGGUUAAAGGGAUAAAUGGGACAAAUAGGGUGAUUUUUUAAAAUUCCCUUAUACUUUUCUGCCUUUCUCAAGUUUUCUGCUGGAGCAUGAGUGCAUUACUUUGUAGUUAGAAAAAAAUGCCAUUAAAACCCAAAAUGUUAGACAGAUAUUUUAGACCCUAUUCCUACAACUGUGGACUCCUAGGAAUCUGGGCCCUGAGCCAAGACCCAGGGUAUUGUCAGAGUUCUGAGGUCCCCCCUAGCUCUCUGGCAUUCUAAGAAUUCUGAGGAUGGAGAAAUGCUGGACUCAGAUCAGGGAGAAACAACUUGAAGCACUUGAUGGAGCAGAGAGAGAGUUUGGGGCAGACUGUACUUUGGACUCAGGUCCCAAACUGGUGGUGCCACAUAGGUGGAGGACUGGCUACACUGUCUCAGGUGCUGGAGAAUCCCUAGGGAUGCCUUCAACAACAAUCAUCAGUCAUUCCACAAAAACCAAAUGCCUCUCAUGUGCCCCGUCCUAGGCAUGAGGAAGAAAUGGUGGACAAGAGAAAUAUGACCCCUGCCCUUAUGGAUGCUUAUGGUCCUGCUUGGCAGACAUGGUAAGGAGACACCACAAAAUGAGAUAAAUGUUACAAGGGAAGUAUAGGCUCUCCGCAUGCACCAGUGAGGGACAGACCCUGUCUAGGAGUUAGGGAAGGCUUCUGGGAGGAACUGUUACCUGAAGGAUGUGCAAAACCUGGUGAGGCAGGGCUGGCAGUGGGGGAGAGGUGAAGAGACAAACAGCACGGACAAAGGCUUGGAGACAAAAUACACGCACACACGUGCACACACACAUGCAAUGCAUUCAAGGAACUGCUAGAAAGCAGUAAGACUAGAGCAGAGAUUGCAAGAGAGAGAGUGAUGAGAAAGGAGACUGGAGAGAGAGGCAGAGGCCAAACCAUGGAGAGAAUUUAUAUCAGUAAGACUAUGUCACAAAUAACAGUAAAUUAAAAUUGGUUAAACACCAACAAAUUUAUUGGCUCAUGCAACUGAAAAGUCCAGAUGUAGGUAGGCCCUAGGGUUGGCUUAAUCCAGCAGCUCAAUAAUACCACCACCGAUUGGGGAUGUCCGUUAGGCAGGUGGUUAUGGACCUGACAUAGAGGAGAGAGUCCCACUGGAGAUACUGGGCUGUCAUCAGCUUAUAGAAGCCAUGCUAGUGGAUUAAACUGCCUACAAAGAGGAUGAAGAGGGAUGGGGCAGAGGCAUGAGGGUCUCCAACACAAACCCAUCCUUUCUCAUCCUGUGCAUCCACUUCAGUUCCAAAAUUGCUCAUGCAGAGGGGGGCUAAAUGUGGCCCCACAAAGACGUGUCCAUGUCCUAACCCCUAGAACCUGUGAAUGUGAACUUAUUUGGAAAAAGCGUCUCUGCGGAUGUAAUUAAGCUAAGGAUUUUGGGAUAAGAUCAUCCUCGAUUAUGCAGGUGAGCCCCACAUCCAGUGACAAGUGUUCCUAUAAGAGAUACCCAGUGAAGAGACACAGGGACAAGAGGAGAAGGCCACGUGAAGUUGGAGUUAUGCAGGCCCAAGUCAAGGAGUGCCUGGAGCCGCCGGAAGCCAGAAGAGGCCCUAGGCCCUCAGAAGGAGCAGGGUCCUGCCAACACCUUGGUUUCAGAUUUCUAGCCUCCAAAACUGUGGGAUUAAAAACGUCUGUUGUUUUAAGCCACCAGUUUGUGG